rnacentral:lncRNA from 1 species
CGUCACUUGCUCUCCUCUCAAAGCUUUUCUCCUGCUUCUUUUUUCCUGAGGCGUACCGCACAAGGAAGUUCCUUCUUCAGGCAACUUCUUGAAAACGCAUAAAGUUCUAGGAUUUUUGUGAUUCAUUCAUUCAUUGUUAGUGCAAGAAACAGGACUGGGAAGCAUCAAGUUACCUUUAGAUUUCAGUCUGCAAGUCUUUUCCUUUUUUCUCCUGCCCCUUUAUAAUGCUUUUUGCCAGCUUAAAAGACUCAUGCCUCAGACACACUGAUGCAAUGAGA